rnacentral:lncRNA from 1 species
GGAAGAUGGCUCUGUGAAGACAGAAGCAGAAAUUGGAGGGAUGCAGCUAUAAACCAAGGGAUGCCAAGGAUUGUGGACAACAACCAGAAGCUGGACGAGACCAAAAUGUAUCAGGAUUCAAUGCUUCUCACUUUACAGAGGAGGAAAAUGAUGCUCCCUGACUUCCCCAAGGCCACACCACCAGUGAAUGACAAACAGAGGAUGGCACAGAGUAACUGCCCCUCAUUUUCCAACGGAGCCAUGGGAGAAAAGGAGGGACCUCGAAGUGAUGGAGAGAUGACGCAGGCACUCCAUAAGCAACGGGGUAUUUCCCGAGCCCAGCUGUUUGCCCUUGAAAACUGAACAAGAGAACGAACCGCAGAACUGUAGUUACCACAUUGAGAAGUAGGUUUGACUCUGGAAGGAACUUCUAGAGUUUAAGACAACAUCCCCGUGUACUUGUACAACACUUUCUGAUUCACA